CCCCAACAACAGAACGGUGUGGAGGUAACCCUAACAACAGAACGGUGUGGAGGUAACCCUAACAACAGAACGGUGUGGAGGUAACCCUAACAACAGAAUGGUGAGUUAACAGAACGGUGUGGAGGUAACCCCAACAACAGAACGGUGAGUUAACAGAAUGGUGUGGAGGUAACCCCAACAACAGAAUGGUGUGGAGGUAACCUUAACAACAGAAUGGUGAGUUAACAGAACGGUGUGGAGGUAACCCUAACAACAGAACGGUGAGUUAACAGAAUGGUGUGGAGGUAACCCCAACAACAGAACGGUGUGGAGGUAACCCUAACAACAGAACGGUGUGGAGGUAACCCUAACAACAGAACGGUGAGUUAACAGAACGGUGUGGAGGUAACCCCAACAACAGAACGGUGAGUUAACAGAAUGGUGUGGAGGUAACCCCAACAACAGAAUGGUGUGGAGGUAAC
ensembl:lncRNA